AUUGAACGCUGGCGGCAUGCCUUACACAUGCAAGUCGAACGGCAGCACGGGAGCAAUCCUGGUGGCGAGUGGCGAACGGGUGAGUAAUAUAUCGGAACGUGCCCGGUCGUGGGGAUAACGUAGCGAAAGCUACGCUAAUACCGCAUACGAUCUAAGGAUGAAAGCGGGGGAUCGCAAGACCUCGCGCGAUUGGAGCGGCCGAUAUCAGAUUAGGUAGUUGGUGGGGUAAAGGCUCACCAAGCCAACGAUCUGUAGCUGGUCUGAGAGGACGACCAGCCACACUGGAACUGAGACACGGUCCAGACUCCUACGGGAGGCAGCAGUGGGGAAUUUUGGACAAUGGACGCAAGUCUGAUCCAGCCAUUCCGCGUGCAGGAUGAAGGCCCUCGGGUUGUAAACUGCUUUUGUACGGAACGAAAGGUUUCUCUUAAUACGAGGAGCUCAUGACGGUACCGUAAGAAUAAGCACCGGCUAACUACGUGCCAGCA
rnacentral:rRNA from 1 species